UUCAGCAACAGAAUCACUGACAGAACAGGUCUAGAAGGAGAUCAUCACAAACUAAACAGGACCCCAAUGGCCAUGAACAGCAGAACCCGCUUAACUGCUGCCUGAAACGUAUUCAAAGAGAUGAAAGUACAGAAGAGUUCUAGCCUAAAGCCCAACAGCAACCGUGGAGAGUCCAGGAACCAACUCAUCAGCCCUGUCAGAGCUCAUCAAAGAUGAGAUGUCUUCCAAUUGUGAAAUCAGCUCAGCACAGAAGAGAUGAGCGUGUGUACUACUUUCCAAAAGAGGAAGUGGAUUCAGAAAACUACUUAUUUUGAUGGGAACACUCUGCUGGUAACGGAAGAACCUCAAGUGAUCAUGAGCACAGCUUCAAUAAACACACUGCACGUGCAGCCCCUCCCAGGUGCUGGCAGGCCACCGGGCACACGGACAGCCCACCCCAAGGGAAGAAUCAGGAGAGAAGUAAUGCAACCCCCUGGAAGCAUGCCAAUGUAUACAACCCCAAGUCAAAGGUCAAAUCGUCAUGCACUUGAAUCUCUCAAGUCGCCCACUUGGCUCUCUUCCAAGUGUACUUUAC
rnacentral:lncRNA from 1 species